GAUUAAAAAAACACACACAUUGAAACCUAUGUCGUAUCUCUCUUACCUUUUUUGCUCUCUCUGUCUCUCAUGAGAUCCAAUCGAGGGCUCGAGGCACACAACCCACCGCCGCCGCCGUCGUUUGCUGGUCAGAGCUCCCUCGUUCGCCACCGGUCCGACCUCCUUCGCCGGAGGACGAAUCGUCGGCGCUCUUCAACGCCCACCCCGGGGCUCGCCGCCCCACUUGAACACCGUCGGGUUCCGCCGCCGCCGAACUCCGCCAUCACCGUGGGCACCGCGCCUGCGGACGAGCUCGCCGGAGCUCACACGCCGCCCGCCACCAAUCUAGAUGAAGAAGCGGGAGGUGAAGGGAGCACAUACGCAUCACGAGUCGCAACUGGCAUCGUGUUUCUUCCCUUUUCUCCCCUCAAGCAGAGCUGCCGCUGUCAAUCCACCUUUCUGGUGCAUAUUUUGGUUCAGACUUCAGACUUCAACUCAAUUCAGACUUGGUUUACUGGCUCUCUUUGUACAUGAAAUGGCCUAGAUUCAAUUGGAAUGGUUAAAAGUGGAAGAGAAGAGUUCACAGAAUUUUCUUGUGUCUGACUCCUCGUUGACCAGCAGCAGAGGUGUGUGUGGAGUCUAUCCGGGGGCUGCGAGCCAAGUGCGGGUGAUAGUGUACUGCCAUGAAUCGGCACCGGCAGGCGGGGCCAGCCUCAGUUGGUGAUGCUAUUAGCGUCCUGCGUAUCACGGUGACAGACUAAGGAAAACCACGGUGGAUGGCCUCCUAUCUUUCGCUUUCCUCCAUACUCUUACAGUUCUCUGGUACGUCACCACAUCCGUCGCCUGAAAUACUUAGUUCUUACUUUGUGAGUUUCGGAUAUGAAUUGAAAGCAAAUUCAACAUUUGUCUUCUGCACUGUGAGACUAUCAGACCAUGGUGUUAUUAUUUAUUAGAAUUCCUCUCUAGCUAAUGUUGCAUUUUGUAAAGUUUGUCUUCCUAUUUCUUUGUUUUUGUAUUGCAAUUACGGCCUAUUGGCUCUCCGUUCUUUCACUAUGAGGAAAAAGUUGAAACUAAAAUCCCAUGCUCAAACAAUUUUCAUAGUGUGAUGAUUUGACAUGAUCAUCCACUGUACUAUACUAGGCAAUUUUUUGUUGUUUACUUAACUCAGUUCAGACCAUUUAUGCUUGUUAUUACAGAGAACUGUACUUGCUGUUGAAUAGAAAAUACAUACUUUAUUCUGGUUUGUCAUUUCUAUGAAAAUCCACCUUCAAUCUAUAAGAAUUUAUUUUUACACAAUCUCUAUAGGAAAAAAAACUGGAAUAUGAAAGCGACUUUGUGCUUCAACGAUAUUGAAAUCACAUUAGAUUUUGUCCAUUUCUUGAAUCAAAUUUCACCACAUGUUUGAGAGUAUUUUUGUUGGUUUUCAUAGAGGAAGCGAUAUACAGAAUUCUUUGGAAUGAUAUCACAUUACCAUAAUUUCAGGUCUUUCUCAGCUUGAUGUCUUCUGCACUGGAACAUAGAAAGUUCGCUGCAACUACGUACACUACAUAAACAAACAUUCAAUUUGGAUCUUAAGAGGAACAUAAGACGAGUGUGUAAAGAUUUGGGGUUUGUAGGAGAUCUGGAUAUUUUACAUCCAUAAUCUUUGUGCAGUACUAGAGAAAUCUUGCCGUAAUUGUCAUGAUUCUGAUUCUGAACUCUGUUAGCCCCUCUGAUAAUUGUUAGUGGUACUAUUAUAUUCCCUCACCUGAUUCUUGUUGUUACUUUUAUUGUUUUUGUGAAAGAGAGGAGUAGCAUGUAGCCUAGAGAAUGUUUGUGUGGAGCUUUUACAAUGCAUACGGGUUCAGUGCAAUGGUUUUCUGCUUCCUCAUCGACAGUGAUUAUCCGAAACCUGAGAGGAUGGAUGAUGCAGUGGUCACAUCAAGCGCCAAGUGCUCGACGUCUCCGGCCGGGUAGAAGACAUCAUGGUCAACAACAGCGACAAGACACCUUCAUGCAACAUUGCAUCGAUGCACAGCACACUUUGUGUCAGCAAUCAAAGAUUUGACUAUUUUCUGUCAGUUAUGGGUUUGCUAGGCUGAACUGUGCAUAAAUCCGGAUGAUUUUGAGUUGCAAGUUGUUUUCCUUGUUUUAUUGCAUUGGUCCUCGUUGUUUUCUAUUUCAUGCCCAUAAUGUCUAGGUUAAGUCUGGUCAUCUCUUCUUGGCACCCCUUGUAUGGCUCCCUUAAUAUCCAUGCCUGUUAUUUAAGUCUCAUCUGUUUGAACUCUGUAUGUUUGUGUUAAUUCCUAGAUGAACUCACUAUGUUUGAAGACUGGACAUUGCGUUUUGAUCUCCAAAGUUAUUGAUUUGUCUACUCAAGUGGAUCUGAUGAAAUGAAACCAAUCAAAAAUCAAUGAAGUGGACCAGAAGAAAAAGACGGGGAAAAUCGACCAUUAGAGUGUAUGAUGGCAGCAAGCUUGCGCAUUCCUUGGAACCUCCAGUAAUAAAAAAUAAUAAUAGAUUGACAUAUCUGAGAAAUCUCCACUAUCCAGACACCGAACCAGUUGCAGAUGGUAUUUAUAGUACACAUGCUAUGUUGAUAGAUGAUGUCAAGUUGUAGCCACAUGAUUUAUUCAGGUUGUGGUAUUUUUCCAUAAGCGCAUUAGUGUACAAUUUGGAAAGAUCAGGUCAGAAAUGAAAUGCACUUAUAUAUUUCCACGUUCAUUAUAAAUAGGCUUCUGCCCUGUAUUUAUUGAAGAUGCCUGAAUUUUGACAAUCCUAAUGCUGAUUUAGUUCUACGUGGACAUUGUUUUGGAUUUGUGUUGUUAGUAUAUUAACAUUUUUAGCAAUACUCUUAAACCCUUCAAUUUAGUGCAAAUAGACCAAGACUAGAGUUGAAUAAUCAGCUUUGUUUUAUUUUAUUUUUUGUAGCCACGAGAAAUAAGAAGAAAGUGGAUGUUGCAUUGCGUAGCACUAAAAAAAAAUCAGUUCAGCAUACUGGUGUGCCACAGCUUGAUGAAUGCACUUACUCUUUUGAGUGGAGGUAAAUAGUAUCUGUUUUAUGUUCUCGUUUAACUUUAUACUGUACCAUCUCUUCAGUUGUACCUGAUCUACUUGUUUCACAAAAGUCUGUACCUAUUUUGUUUAAGCUGGUCGCGUCUUACUUUGACUGGAUGAGUAUAAUCUAACCAUGGUGCUGUGGAUAUUAGCUAUGUUGAGUUUGGCUUUACAGCAUGGCAGUAUUCUCACAUGGCAGUAGCUAAUCAAAUGACCCAGUAGUUAUAUGUUUCCAUUUAACCACUAGCUGUAAGAGGUACAAGCACACAUUCAGAAAAUGUGAGUUGAAAAUUUACACGUGCUUUAGCCUUCAGUAAAAAAAACUGCAUUAUAUGUCGUCUUCUUAUGUGCAACAUGCACUAAUAUUUUAUCAGCCCACACAAAAUACAACAUUACAGGAAAAAUGGUCGCUAAAUUCUACGCCAAACAUCUAGGCAUGCAAUUCUUCAGAAAUGAAGCAUGUUCUUCUGGUGAUUUGGCUUCGUCUUGCUUGGAGAAGUGCCACCGUGUGUUCAACAUGUAAUAGUGAAUUAUUGUAACACUGUUGAUUUUUUUUUAAUAGUUUGAAUUGCUUACCACUUGUGUCAUGUGGUAACACUGUUGAAAUUUAAUACACAAGGGCUCUAUUUUCUGCUAAAAACAUAGCCUGACUGGUCUUUUUAA